AUUGAACGCUGGCGGCAGGCCUAACACAUGCAAGUCGAGCGGAUGACGGGAGCUUGCUCCUUGGUUCAGCGGCGGACGGGUGAGUAAUGCCUAGGAAUCUGCCUGGUAGUGGGGGACAACGUUUCGAAAGGAGCGCUAAUACCGCAUACGUCCUACGGGAGAAAGCAGGGGACCUUCGGGCCUUGCGCUAUCAGAUGAGCCUAGGUCGGAUUAGCUAGUUGGUGGGGUAAUGGCUCACCAAGGCGACGAUCCGUAACUGGUCUGAGAGGAUGAUCAGUCACACUGGAACUGAGACACGGUCCAGACUCCUACGGGAGGCAGCAGUGGGGAAUAUUGGACAAUGGGCGAAAGCCUGAUCCAGCCAUGCCGCGUGUGUGAAGAAGGUCUUCGGAUUGUAAAGCACUUUAAGUUGGGAGGAAGGGCAGUAAGUUAAUACCUUGCUGUUUUGACGUUACCGACAGAAUAAGCACCGGCUAACUCUGUGCCAGCCGCCGCGGUAA
rnacentral:rRNA from 1 species